AUUGAACGCUGGCGGCAUGCUUUACACAUGCAAGUCGAACGGUAACAGGCCGCAAGGUGCUGACGAGUGGCGAACGGGUGAGUUAUGCAUCGGAACGUGCCCAGUCGUGGGGGAUAACGCAGCGAAAGCUGUGCUAAUACCGCAUACGAUCUAUGGAUGAAAGCGGGGGACCGUAAGGCCUCGCGCGAUUGGAGCGGCCGAUGUCAGAUUAGGUAGUUGGUGGGGUAAAGGCGCACCAAGCCAACGAUCUGUAGCUGGUCUGAGAGGACGACCAGCCACCCUGGGAGUGGGACGCGGCCCAGACGCAUAGGGGAGGCAGCAGUGGGGAAUUUUGGACAAUGGGCGCAAGCUUGAUCCAGCAAUGCCGCGUGCAGGAAGAGGGCCUUCGGGUUGUAAACUGCUUCUGUACGGAAGGAAACGGUCUGGGUUAAUACCCUGGGCUAAUGACGGUACCGUAAGAAUAAGCACCGGCUAACUACGUGCCAGCAGCCGCCGUAACAC
rnacentral:rRNA from 1 species